rnacentral:rRNA from 1 species
UAAACUAGGAUUAGAUACCCUAUUAUUGGAAAUGUAAAUUAGAUGCCUGAGUAGUAGUAGUUAUGUUCUUGAAAUUUAAAGAAUCUGGCGGUAUUCUAGUCCAUUCAGAGGAACCUGCCCUGUAAUUGAUGGUCCACGAUUAAUUGUACUUGUCAAGUAGUUUGUAUAUCGUCGUGGUAGGAAUGUUCUAAGAGGGGGUUGAAUAUUCAGAAUUUACAAUAUAAAUGAAUUCAGAUCAAGAUACAGCGUAUGGAUAAGAAGAGGUGGGUUACAAUGAAUAUAUUUAUAUGGAUGGGGAAUUUAACAGUCUCUUGAAAUUGGAUUUGAUAGUAAUUUGGUUAAGUUAAAUCUUAUGAUUUUGGCUCUAGAAUAUGCACAUAUCGCCCGUCGCUCCUUCAUUAAGGAAGGAUAAGUCGUAACAUAGUAGGUGUACUGGAAAGUGUACCUAGAACGGCAAAUUAGAGCUUGUUAGAAAGCAUUUUAUUUACAUUAAAAAGUAAGUUGUGAGAAUCAAUUUAAUUUGAGAUAAUAGACGUAUUAGAUUUUAUUAACAAAAGUGUUUUUAAUAUAAGUAUAUUUUUGAAUUUAGUUGGUUUAUGAUAGUGAAUAGUAUAGUGAUAGGGCUAUUAAAUAGAGGAUUUAUUAUGGGAAAGAAGGAUUAGUUUUCUGUACCUUGGGUAUCAGGGUUUAUUAAAAUAAUUUGGUUAUUUGAUUUUCUCGAAUUGUGAAGAUCUAUAAUUUUAUGAAUCUAACUGUGGCAUAAGUUUUUAACAUAAGAUUAUGGUGAUGAAAUUUUAUUCGUUUUACAAGAUAUCUAGUUUCUUAAGAAAUGAAUUUAAUUCAGGACCCCUAAUCAAUAUAAUUAUUUAUUAUUAACUUGUUACGGGGAUCUAAUAUCUUGAGGGAUAAGCUUUAGGAUAAACUGUUAUAAUUUAUGUUCUUGAAUUAAGAGUUGGUAGGAUUGGAAAUGUCUAUCUUUAAUUUGUUAUAAUUAACUUUUGGUCGAAUAGGAUUUUUAUAUAUGUUUAGGUUUUUUUAUUAAGACUAUGAAUUGAAUCUAGUAUUUUAUGAGAUAAUGAUAGAAUUAGUAUAGUGGGAUGUUUAAUAAAGUCAAAGAUCUAGGUUAAUUUAAGGAACUCGGCAAAUACUUUUUUCGCCUGUUUAUUAAAAACAUGUCCUUUUGAUUAUAAUUUAAGGUCUAGCCUGCCCAAUGAGGAGUUAAAUGGCCGCGGUAAUUUGACCGUGCAAAGGUAGCAUAAUCAUUAGUUUUUUAAUUGGAAGCUGGUAUGAAUGGCUGGACGAGAAAGAGACUGUCUCAAUUUAAUUGAUGAUAGAAUUUUAUUUUUAAGUAAAAAAGCUUAUAUGACUUUAAAAGACGAGAAGACCCUAUAGAAUUUAAUAUUUGGGUUUAUGUUUUAUGUUUGGUAAGUUUAAUUAAGCAUUAAUUUAAAUAUUUCGUUGGGGUGAUGGGAAAACUAAUAUAACUUUUCUUGUGUAAAAGCAUUAAUUUAUGCCUGUAUGAUCCGUUUUUUACGAUUAUAAGAUAAAAUUACCUUAGGGAUAACAGCGUAAUUUUUCUUUAGAGUUCUUAUCGAAAGAAAAGUUUGCGACCUCGAUGUUGGAUUAAAAUUAACUUUUGGUGCAGGUGCUAAAAGGUUAGGUCUGUUCGACCUUUAAAAUUUUACAUGAUCUGAGUUCAAACCGGAGA